CCUACGGGAGGCUGCAGUGAGGAAUAUUGGUCAAUGGACGAGAGUCUGAACCAGCCAAGUAGCGUGAAGGAUGACUGCCCUCUGGGUUGUAAACUUCUUUUAUAUGGGAAUAAAAUGUUCCACGUGUGGGAUUUUGUAUGUACCAUAUGAAUAAGGAUCGGCUAACUCCGUGCCAGCAGCCGCGGUAAUACGGAGGAUCCGAGCGUUGUCCGGAUUUAUUGGGUUUAAAGGGAGCGUAGGUGGAUUGUUAAGUCAGUUGUGAAAGUUUGCGGCUCAACCGUAAAAUUGCAGUUGAAACUGGCAGUCUUGAGUACAGUAGAGGUGGGCGGAAUUCGUGGUGUAGCGGUGAAAUGCUUAGAUAUCACGAAGAACUCCGAUUGCGAAGGCAGUUCACUGGACUGCAACUGACACUGAGGCUCGAAAGUGUGGGUAUCAAACAGGAUUAGAUACCCUAGUAGUC
rnacentral:rRNA from 1 species